rnacentral:misc_RNA from 1 species
UCUCCGUAGGUGAACCUGCGGAGGGAUCAUUCACAUGAUUUACUUUAUAAACAAACUGUGAACUUUAUUAUAUACUAUUCUUGUAAGGAUUAUUUUAUAAUCUUUUACAACGUCAUUCGAUGAACAUUAGAUAGUUGGCUUGUUUUUUUUUAAAUAAAAAACUUUCUCAGCUGAUUUGUUUGUUAGACUAAACAUCUAUUCAAUCAAUCAACCAAAAACAUAGAAACAACUCUAUGCCCUGGAUAUCUUGGUUCUC